UUUCCUUAAGAAAAUAUUUAAGGUAUUACCUGCCCAAUGUGAAAAUUAAAGGCUGCGGUAUUUUAACUGCACUAAGGUAGCAUAAUUAAUUGUCUUUUAAUUGGUGACUUGUUUGAAUGGUUUAAUGAGAAAAAGGACUUUCUUAAAACUACAAAGAAUUUAUAUUUCAAGGUUAAAAUACCUGAAUUUAAAAGAAAGACGAGAAGACCCUGUUGAGUUUUACAAUUUUUAUUGUUUUAAUGGGAAAUUAAAUUUUUGUUUAAAAUUUUAUAGAUCCUGGGAUAAAUUCCUGGAAAAAGGACAAAAUUACCACAGGGAUAACAGGACAAUAUCUCCAAAGAGUUCUUAUCGAAGGGGAUGCUUGUUACCUCGAUGUUGAAUCGAAAUAUCUUUAUGGUUGCAGAGGCCGUAAGAGUUGGUCUGUUCGACCAUUUAAAUUUCACG
rnacentral:rRNA from 1 species